rnacentral:rRNA from 1 species
UACGGAGGGUGCAAGCGUUAUCCGGAUUCACUGGGUUUAAAGGGUGCGUAGGCGGACACUUAAGUCCGUGGUGAAAUCUCUGGGCUUAACCCAGAAACUGCCAUGGAUACUAUUUGUCUUGAAUGUUGUGGAGGUUAGCGGAAUAUGUCAUGUAGCGGUGAAAUGCAUAGAUAUGACAUAGAACACCAAUUGCGAAGGCAGCUGGCUACACAAAUAUUGACGCUGAGGCACGAAAGCGUGGGGAUCAAGCAGG